GAUGAACGCUGGCGGCGUGCCUAAUACAUGCAAGUCGAGCGAACAGACGAGGAGCUUGCUCCUCUGACGUUAGCGGCGGACGUGUGAGUAACACGUGGAUAACCUACCUAUAAGACUGGGAUAACUUCGGGAAACCGGAGCUAAUACCGUAUAAUAUAUUGAACCGCAUGGUUCAAUAGUGAAAGACGGUUUUGCUGUCACUUAUAGAUGGAUCCGCGCCGCAUUAGCUAGUUGGUAAGGUAACGGCUUACCAAGGCAACGAUGCGUAGCCGACCUGAGAGGGUGAUCGGCCACACUGGAACUGAGACACGGUCCAGACUCCUACGGGAGGCAGCAGUAGGGAAUCUUCCGCAAUGGGCGAAAGCCUGACGGAGCAACGCCGCGUGAGUGAUGAAGGUCUUCGGAUCGUAAAACUCUGUUAUUAGGGAAGAACAAAUGUGUAAGUAACUAUGCACGUCUUGACGGUACCUAAUCAGAAAGCCACGGCUAACUACGUG
rnacentral:rRNA from 1 species